GUUCAGAUCUGGUUCAGAGCAGGAGAACUGGAUGAAAAUCUGUUAAAAACAAAUGAAUCUGAAGUUGAAGUACAAUUCACCGAGGUGGUUAUGGCAAAACGUGUUUCCCAGGCUGAUAACAUCAUGAGAAACCACCUCAACAUUAGUGGUGGCUAAGAGUUGUCAGCUGUCAAGAGGCACUGAGAUGUUACAGAAAACCAUUUGCCCAAGUGUUGUGGCCUGAAGACAUGGUCAAAAGCAGAUGACAUUUCAUUGGCUCUUCACACAAUCCUGAAACAUCUUGACAGUAAAUGUGCAUACAUACAGCAGGAUGCUCUGCAUUGACAACAGCUUAGCAUUCAAUACUAUCUUCUCCUCAAAACUAAUUAAUAACCUCCAAGACCUAGGCUUCAAUGCUUCCUUAUACAACUGGAUCAUCGAUUUCCUCACUUGCGGACCCUACUCAGUUCAGAUUGGCAGCAACCUCUCCAAAAUCGUUCUCAGCACAGGUGCACCACAAGGCAAUGUGCUCAGCCCCCUGCUCUACUCGCUUUAUAUUCAUGUCUGUGAGGCUAAGCACAGCUCCAAAGCCUUAUUUAAGUUUGCUGGUGACACCGCUGUCACAGGCCGAAUCAAAGGUGGUGACAAAUCAGCAAAGAGGAGGGAGGUUGAAAAUCUGACUGAGUGGUGCCACAAGAACAACCUCUCACUCAAUAGCAAUGAGAUCAAGGAGCUGAUUAUUGACUACAGAAGGAGGAAACAGGAUGUCCAUGAGCCACUCUUCACUGGGGGAUCCGAUGUGGAGAGGGUCAGCAACUGCAUAAUUCCUCGGCAUUGUCGUUUCAGAGGAUCUGUCUUGUGUUCAGCAUGUACAGUAAGUGCCAUUACAAAGAAAGCACAGCAGCGCCUCUUCUUUCUUAGAAGUUUGCAAGGAUUCAUUACCUCAUCUAAAACAUUGACAAAUUCUGUACAGGUCAGUAAUAGCAUCUCCUCACUGAAAAUCAACCAGGUACAUCUUUAGGAUGCAUACUUAGCUGACUGC